rnacentral:rRNA from 1 species
AUUGAACGCUGGCGGCAGGCCUAACACAUGCAAGUCGAGCGGAUGAAGGGAGCUUGCUCCUGGAUUCAGCGGCGGACGGGUGAGUAAUGCCUAGGAAUCUGCCUGGUAGUGGGGGAUAACGUCCGGACACGGGCGCUAAUACCGCAUACGUCCUGAGGGAGAAAGUGGGGAUCUUCGGACCUCACGCUAUCAGAUGAGCCUAGGUCGGAUUAGCUAGUUGGUGGGGUAAAGGCCUACCAAGGCGACGAUCCGUAACUGGUCUGAGAGGAUGAUCAGUCACACUGGAACUGAGACACGGUCCAGACUCCUACGGGAGGCAGCAGUGGGGAAUAUUGGACAAUGGGCGAAAGCCUGAUCCAGCCAUGCCGCGUGUGUGAAGAAGGUCUUCGGAUUGUAAAGCACUUUAAGUUGGGAGGAAGGGCAGUAAGUUAAUACCUUGCUGUUUUGACGGUACCAACAGAAUAAGCACCGGCUAACUUCGUG